rnacentral:rRNA from 1 species
GACGAACGCUGGCGGCGUGCUUAACACAUGCAAGUCGAACGGAAAGGCCCUGCUUUUGUGGGGUGCUCGAGUGGCGAACGGGUGAGUAACACGUGAGUAACCUGCCCUUGACUUUGGGAUAACUUCAGGAAACUGGGGCUAAUACCGGAUAGGAGCCCCUGCUGCAUGGUGGGGGUUGGAAAGUUUCGGCGGUUGGGGAUGGACUCGCGGCUUAUCAGCUUGUUGGUGGGGUAGUGGCUUACCAAGGCUUUGACGGGUAGCCGGCCUGAGAGGGUGACCGGCGACAUUGGGACUGCGGUACGGCCCAGACUCCUACGGGAGGCAGCAGUGGGGAAUAUUGCACAAUGGGCGGAAGCCUGAUGCAGCAACGCCGCGUGCGGGAUGACGUCCUUCGGGUUGUAAACCGCUUUCGCCUGUGACGAAGCGUGAGUGACGGUAAUGGAUAAAUAAGCACCGGCUAACUACGUG